CAAGGCCCUACUUGGUAUGCACCGUUCACGAGCGUACGGGCAUGUGCGUGUGUCUGCGUGUGCGUAAUGCCUACGCCACACUUUGGAGGGCUGCGAGUGUGAUAAGGGGCUGCUAGCUGAGCUUGGCUGACCCACGCGGGCCCUUCACAAGCUGUCAGAGGCACGGCCCUCGGAGGGGGGGCCCCUUCCAUCUGCGCUGCCCCAGCCAGGGUUACCCAGCGGGGAGCUAGAUUGGGGUGAGGCCCCUGUACCGCUGGGACUGGAAGAUGGGGGGCUGGGUGUGAAGGAUGCUUCCAUAUUAAUGAAGAUCCGCCUUUAUUAUUCCAAUGAAGAAUCACAAUCCCAACGUCUAAAGGAGAAAGUCGACAACGGGCCCGCCGCCACCGUCAAAACAACAACGAGAAGCGAGGCAGACACCGGGAGCACAGAUAGUCACAAAGGUGAUGAAGGGAGUGGAUGGAAAUGAAGAGAAGGCAACACAACACGCAGGCGUGAUGAAACGGCAGGCUGGGAGGAUUCGGCAGCGGCGUUCCCCAAGCUCCCGGUGCUCCCGUCCCGCUUCGAACUCGGCUCGUCGCCUGUCUUUCUGCCUGCCAUCCUCUUUGCCAGUUGAGGAGAGUGAGAGCGAGGCAGCCGGAUGAGCCGUGCCGUGCCGUGCCGUGCCGGGCUGGCACCAGGGAAAUCAGUGGGGCGCAGGCGCUCCCAGUUAAAAGUGACAUGACCUUUUGAUUUUGUCACCUGUCACCAAAUGCCAUGUCUGACUCUGCACUGAGGAGCGCCUGCCAUCCUCCUCCUCUUCUUUCUCUGUCGCCCCAUCGCUCCCAAUGCUUCUUUUGCCGUCUCCCACUCCAAUCAUUUACUUUCCAGACUUGCCGUUUCUAUCCGGGAAAAGUGGCGAUGUGACUUUUCGGCGGUCUAAUAGGCUGUUUCCUCUUUUUCCCCCUCCCAGCUUUCUUAUAAUAUUUACUUUCUGUACCUGUGUUGUGCGGGGCUCUUAAUGAGGGCAGAUGUCACGGCAGAGUGUGUUUAAAGACGCCGAUUUUUUUUUUUCUUUUUUUUCCCAGAGAUGAUAGCUCGGGGUGAAAAUAGACGAGAUAAAAAUGGCUAUGAAGUCUUGUUCUCGAAUGAUACAAA